rnacentral:rRNA from 1 species
AAAUCCUGGAGCUCAACUCCAGAACUGCCAUUGAUACUAUUUAUCUUGAAUAUUGUGGAGGUAAGCGGAAUAUGUCAUGUAGCGGUGAAAUGCUUAGAUAUGACAUAGAACACCCAUUGCGAAGGCAGCUUACUACGCAUAUAUUGACGCUGAGGCACGAAAACGUGGGGAUCAAACAGGAUUAGAUACCCUGGUAGUCCACGCCCUAAACGAUGGAUACUCGACAUACGCGAUACACUGUGUGUGUCUGAGCGAAACGRUUAAGUUACCCACCUGGGAAGUACGUUCGCAAGAAUGAAACUCAAAGGAAUUGGCGGGGGUYYGACAAGCGGAGUAUGUGGUUUAAUUCGAUG